UCUUGACUAGUAUAUCGGUUAGUACACGCGCUUGUCAUUAAUGAUCGUGUCGCGCGAAAGCUGGGUUCGACUCCCAGGUCGAGAG